CGUGGGGAGCGAACAGGAUUAGAUACCCUGGUAGUCCACGCCGUAAACGGUGGGUGCUAGUUGUGGGCCACAUUCCACGUGGUCCGUGACGAAGUUAACACAUUAAGCACCCCGCCUGGGGAGUACGGUCGCAAGACUAAAACUCAAAGGAAUUGACGGGGGCCCGCACAAGCGGCGGAGCAUGCGGCUUAAUUCGACGCAACGCGAAGUACCUUACCAAGGCUUGACAUAUACAGGAAUAUGGCAGAGAUGUCAUAGCCGCAAGGUCUGUAUACAGGUGGUGCAUGGUUGUCGUCAGCUCGUGUCGUGAGAUGUUGGGUUAAGUCCCGCAACGAGCGCAACCCUCGUCCUAUGUUGCCAGCACGUAAUGGUGGGAACUCAUGGGAGACUGCCGGGGUCAACUCGGAGGAAGGUGGGGAUGACGUCAAAUCAUCAUGCCCCUUAUGUCUUGGGCUUCACGCAUGCUACAAUGGCCAGUACAAAGGGCUGCAAUACCGUAAGGUGGAGCGAAUCCCAAAAAGCUGGUCUCAGUUCGGAUUGAGGUCUGCAACUCG
rnacentral:rRNA from 1 species